rnacentral:rRNA from 1 species
UACCAGCACCCCGAGUGGUCGGGACGUUUUAUUGGGCCUAAAGCAUCCGUAGCCGGUUCUGCAAGUCUUCCGUUAAAUCCACCUGCUUAACAGAUGGGCCGCGGAAGAUACUAUAGAGCUAGGAGGCGGGAGAGGCAAGCGGUACUCGAUGGGUAGGGGUAAAAUCCGUUGAUCCAUUGAAGACCACCAGUGGCGAAGGCGGCUUGCCAGAACGCGCUCGACGGUGAGGGAUGAAGGCUGGGGGAGCAAACCGG